UACGUAGGAUGCGAGCGUUGUUCGGAUUUAUUGGGCGUAAAGCGUGCGUAGGCGGUUACAAAAGUCUGGGGUUAAAGCUAGGGGCUCAACCCCUGUGAUGCACUGGAAACUAUGUGACUUGAGUGCGGUAGGGGAAGGUGGAAUUCCGAGUGUAGCGGUGAAAUGCGUAGAUAUUCGGAAGAACACCGGUGGCGAAGGCGACCUUCUGGGCCGCAACUGACGCUGAGGCACGAAAGCCUGGGGAGCGAACGGG
rnacentral:rRNA from 1 species